ACACAAUAUUUCAACUGUGUCUGAAUAUUUUCUACAGGUUCUACUGUUUCUACAGGUCAAUAAUAAUUUCCUCCUUAUUUUUAGGUUGUUUACAUCUACUUGUAGUGGUGAGGAACUGAUAUGUCAUCUUCAAAGAUUCAGUAUCCUCCACAGAGAAGUGGUGGUAUGAUGACAGGACAUUAGCGAAUUAUGGAGGUUUUCAUAACAAUCAAAGAUCAUUUCGUGACAACCAACAUCCAGAUUGGCUUUCAAUUCCAGAUAAUUUUUAAAGGAAUUGAUUUCAGAUUCCACCAGCUGUAGUGAUAGGAGUUCAACCCACAUGCCCCGGACGUUAGCCUGGGCCAUGAAUCCAGAGUCGUUAUCACUUGACCAUCAGCUCCCAAUUAUACAAAUGCUGAGGGUUCACAGUUUUGCUACACAAAUGCAUACAGACUGACUCAUCUCAUCCUAAGGUUAGCUGGGGACCAGGCUAAGACUCAGUACAACUCCCACCUCCCAUCGACACAAAAUUAAUGUUGGCAGAGAACUACAAGUCCUAUCAGAUUUUCAUUCCCAACCAUGAAAGGAAGUGUUCCAUCAUGAUAAAACAGCAGCCAAUUGUAAAUUGGCCACAAAACAUCUUGAGUUAGCCGGCUGAAGACCUGCAGACUCCUUUCACAAAUCCUGUACCGUACUGCUGGGAGGAAUUGGAUCAUUCAAAACAAGUUGGCCACUUAAGUGGAAAUUGACACUACAGUGAAGAACUGCAGGAACCUGUUUGUUGCUUGCAAAGUGAAACACUAAUCUUUCAAAUUUAGCUGUACCGUCUUUGUGUCAGGAGAAGGAAAAUAGUUUGAAUGCAAGUUUGUACCUCAAGUCAAUGGAAGACACAUGCUGAAAUGAUAAAAUGAAAUUUGUGAAACCACUCAGUGGCAGAAAAUCGUUUUCUUUCUCUCAUGGAUUUCAACCAUUUUCUUGGUCUCAUUUAUUUUUCCCAACAGCUUUCCAAAUGAAAAACUUCCAUCCACACGAAAAAUUGUCAGCCUUAAUCUGAAUUUGAGUUUUCUGUAGAGAUCUAACAAAAUGUAAUUUCACGACCGAGCAUUCACAACAAGUGCGAAUACAGUGACAAUUAUUUUCUGGAAGAUUAGAAACAUGAACUAAUGUGGUCAAAAAUAACAGCAACAGGAAGGAAAUGCUCAUUUUUGUCUGCAAGGAAUGCACGUUUGGACAGGAAACCUAACUUGUUUACAUCAGCAAUAUAUUUUAUCAAAUUGGCUUUUCAAAAUAGUGUGCAUAAUUAAACUGUGACAUUUGAGAGCUUAUGAAGAAAAUGAUUUUAAAGCUGCAGUUUUAAGGAAGGCAUUCCUUUAGAUUAGAGCAUUAGAACUUAAAGAAAAAUGUCUGUGACUAAACUACCAACCUUAAAACAUUUAUAAGAGGAAAUAUUUUAAAUACAUGAUUUGAUGUGCAUCGGAGGAACAAAAGAUUGCUGCCCUUUCCCUCCAGAGGUUCUAUUUUCAGUUUGCUGUAGGUGGAGCAGAAAGCAAUUGCUUUCUCAUAGAAUCACGUGUUUAAUUCCGAAAAAAAAGUGAGCAUGUGCCAAUGCCACUUCCACUAGAGCUGGCUUUGUGUAAUAUCAUUUUCCUCCCCUUGUAUUCUUGUACUCAUUAACUUACAAAUAUCUUUAAAAUUUAUUAUUAAAUCUUUUAAUAAUCUGUCUCAGAUAUGACUUUCUGUAAAGCAUAAUAUGUUAUAAGGAAUACAGGUACUCGGUGUAAAAAAUUUUCUUCAAAGUAUUUUCUUUAUUCUUUUUAUGGUAAUCCUAUUUUUGACCAAUUUGCUGCAAUUGAAAACCAUGAGUGGAAUUAAUUGCUUUCUUGAGCAACAUGGGCAGUGGCAAGAAUGUUAGAAAAUAUGGCGAAAUUGCCUGAUUUGUGUGAAACUUAAAUGUUUUCUGCCUGUCAGUCCAAGUCUGGAUGUCAUGCAAAGGACUUCUUUUCAGAGGUUUAAACUUUUGUUUACAAGAAGCAUUAACAACGCCGGCUGCAGAAUUCCUGGAAAUUUCAUCACAUGGCAUCUGGGCUGUUCUGACCAGGCAACUGCCCUUCCAAUAUCUUUCGAACUAAUAAAUGAGUGUUCAAAGAAAAUUAUUAAAAACUUUAAUGCACCUACAAA